UGUUAAAAGAUCGCUGUGUCUCAUAUCACCUUGUUAUUUGUACACGGUUUGACUAUACAAAUCACAACACAUAAAUAGGAAAAUGAUCGCGUUAUUUUGUCACUUAUUGGGAGCAGUAUACUAGCUGGAGCCAUGCAUUUCCAGUCUUUGUGCUAAGCUAAGCUAGCGGGGGCUGCGUCAGACAGAGUUACAGCACGCACGGAGAUGAGAGAGGUAUGUAUGGACUUAUCUAACUCUGGGGGAUACGGUGAAUAAGCUAAAUUCCCAAAAUGUGGGCGUGUUCCUUUAAUAUUGAAAUCACUCGCGCUUGACGCCUCUACCGCGGCUGGUCUGAACGCAGCAUUAGACCGCCAGCGACAAGCAGUAGCAGAGCAAUGUGAUCACAUUCAUUUCAAUGGACGCUUGGCGUCUCUGCGACACAUUUGCAUAAAGUUAAACUUUCUUACUUGCUCGCGUCGCUGGACACGCUGAUAUUGUCGCCAACGACAACAUUUGUUGCCAGAUAUACUUUUAGGGUUGUUAAUAUUCCUAGGUGGCCUGCCCCAGUAAAGGAAAUGUGUGGAAAACUGAUUUCUGUAGUUCAAAGUUAAAAUGGAGUUGAUAAUUGGAAUCUGUUUACUUUUUGAUAUUACUGGCCUUAUUUUGGACUUGUAGUGCAUGUUAUUAUAAGGACAACCCCCACUUCUGAUAAAAUCCUGUCCUACAUUUUUAUCUUGUUAAAUAUUUGUUUCAUCUGGGCAUAUUCACAUCAAUGUCCGUGUCAGCUUGUAAGUUUGGUUUAAGCAUCUGCAUACAUUCUGGUCAUUUCAAUGAGGUGAAGCCAACAGGAACAUGCACAAGGCUGCUCCUGAGUUUUUGCAUACUGUGGUUUUUAUUUUAUUUGCAUGUUGGCAGACGCCUGUGGGAAAGUUUAAAGUAUCUGCAUGUUUCUAGUAUGACAAUCAUAUCCAAAACUUUAGAUUGUGAUGAAUAGUUGAUAUGAAAUUGACCUAAACGUCAUGACUGCAGUACAGCUUUGAGCUUUACAUUUUCUUUUCAGCAGAAAUACAAUGCUUAUAUGUAAUAUGAGCAUACAUGUAUGUUAAAUGUGAAUGUGCAAAAUGAACAUUUUUGCUGUCGUUGCCUGUUAUCAGCUUUAUUUAAAUGAUUGUUUAUAUAUGCACAUUUUAUCAUAUUAGGUUUCAGUUUUGUUUAAAAUGAGAUGAAAAAUUUUUCUGCCAAAAUAGGGUUUUUUCCUUAAUCACAAAUUUCUUUAUGUUGAUGUUCUCAUCACACACAUUUUUACUGGUUUAAACUGAAAAUUACUGCUUUCUUUUCCUCAUUUGAUCACAAGAUGCUGUUAGAAAAAUCGAUUUUAAGAUUUUGUCUUUAACAUCAUGUAAAGCUUUUACCUUGUAUUUUAAAUGUGGAGAUUGAAUGUGAUUGGACACUGUUUACUGUACUUGUAUGUGAUUUGCUGCCUGGUCUACAGAGAAACAUUUAAGAACAAAUAUUUUAGGCCUUAAAUAAAAUCUGAAUAAUCAAA